GUGGUGCAUUACAUCUUACAAGCAACGAGACCACUUUCAACUGCACAGCAACUGAUACGGCUGGAGGAGAGACUACCUGUACAUUCAACGUUGUCUUUGAUCAACAAGCACCUGUGAUCGACAAUUGUCCUUCGAAUGUAAGGACCAACAACGCUGUGGUAACCUGGACACCAGAUCCUACAGCAACUGACAAUGAUGGGACCACACCUGCAGUAUCCUGUAUUCCAGCCGCUGGUAGUUCAUUUCCAGUCGAUGCAACUACAAUUGUUGUUUGUAACGCGACUGAUGCUGCUGGAAAUGAGGCCAUCUGCACUUUUAAUGUCGCUGUAGCGGAGUCGAUCACGUGCCCUACCGACUAUUGCCAAAAUGGCGGGGAAUGUCUGCGGGAAGGAGCAGUGCCAAGGGUCCAGUUCUCCUGCAAUUGUUCUGCUGGAUUCACCGGUGACGUUUGCCAGACAUCAGUAAAAGGUA